rnacentral:lncRNA from 1 species
GACUUGAUCCGUCCAUUUCCAGCCUCUAUUUGGCAACGUGAAGUUAUGUUCUAGCCACUGAGCCAAACUGCUGAACCUGGAACUUCGAAAAGUAGACAAACUCGUAAACAGCAGAAGUGCGCAGAAGAAUACUCAUAGCCGAACUUAUUCUUUUUCUUUUCAAAUACCUGUCUCUUGCAAGCCAUUACCGGGCCUAAUUUUAAUUAAAAACUCUGUUACAAUUACGUUUCAGCAUUUUUUUAACUCUAACCCUCCACCUGUUUGAUCAAAUGUUUUAAUGUGCAUCACCGACAAUUCUUUUUUUAAAAGAAU